rnacentral:tRNA from 1 species
GGGCUGGUAGCUCAGCUGGCAGAGCAACGGACUCUUAAUCCGUGGGUCGCGGGUUCGACUCCCGCCCAGCCCACCA